AUGAAUAUCGCCCUCCUAUCCCGCUGGCUUUGGCGCAUCUCCCAAGGCCAAGGUGGCCUCUGGCUUGACAUCAUCCGGAACAAGUAUCUGCGUGGCCAGCCACUUGCCUUAUGUCAGCGAUCUGGUGGCUUGCAGUUCUGGCAGUCGGUCGUCCUGCUUCUCCUGGUCCUCCGCAUCAGGACUUCCAUCUUGGUGGGGUCCAGCUCGGCGACAUUGUUCUGGUUUGACAGAUGGGCUGGAGACUCCCCCUUUGCCGCGCGCUUUCCCGAUCUAUUCUCCCUCGCAGUUGAACCCCUGAUCUCGGUUGAGAGGGCCCUUGUUGAUCUAGGGCGCCUUGCUUUCCAGAGACCUUUCGGCCCUCUGGAAUCUGCCGCUUGGCGUGAGUUACUAGACUGUGUAGCACUUCACGAGCCAGUGGUGGACGAUGGCCCGGACCUGGUGAGAUGGUGGCUCGAACCUUCGGGCCAAUUAUCCACCAAAUCCCUUUACCAGGCCAUCGCACCUUCCGUCGCCCCUCUCCCCCUGUCGACGGUGUGGUCCGUCCAUCGAUCCCUGAAAAUUCGGAUCUUCAUGUGGCAGUGGAUUCGCGGGCGACUCCCGUCGGGCGUUGAGGUGCGUAAGCAAAAUGGCCCGGGCUCCGGCAUUUGCCCGCUCUGCGAUGUACCCAAAGACUCGAAUCACAUCUUCUUCUCCUGCGUGACCGCUCAAUUCGUUUGGAGCUGCUUCCGUGAGGUGGUGGGUGGAUCUUGGUGUCACAGCAACUUCCCCGACCUGUACGACGAGCUCCAGUCCUCCCCUUUGACUUCUCGCCACAUUAGGUGGCUCGAGAUUGGAGUCAUCGCUUGGACCCUCUAG
rnacentral:rRNA from 1 species